CUCUUGUGAUGAAUUCUACUGCCAUCGUGUCUGGGCUACUGAUACUCCAUGAUGGUAAAGAGGAUCUGAGGGG
rnacentral:snoRNA from 1 species